CCUACGGGUGGCAGCAGUGAGGAAUAUUGGUCAAUGGCCGGAAGGCUGAACCAGCCAAGCCGCGUGAGGGAGGAAGGCGCAGAGCGUCGCAGACCUCUUUUGCCGGGGGACAAAAGGCCGGACGGGUCCGGUUCUGAGGGUACCCGGAGAAAACGCAUCGGCUACCUCCGUUCCAGCAGCCGCGUGAAUACGGAGGAUGCGAGCGUUAUCCGGUUUCAGUGGGUUUAAGGGGUACGCAGGCGGGCCUUUAAGCCGGCGGUGAAAUCGCGGGGCUCACACCCGCCGAGCCGUCGGAACUGGGGGCCUUGAGUGCGGCGGAGGCAUGCGGAAGGCGCGGUGUAGCGGUGAAAUGCAUAGAUAUCGCGCAGAACCCCGAUGGCGAAGGCAGCGUGCCGUGCCGCCACUGACGCUGAGGCACGAAAGCGCGGGGAUCGAACAGGAUUAGAUACCCGUGUAGUC
rnacentral:rRNA from 1 species